AUGCUUGCUUCAGCAGCACAUAUACUAAAAUUGGAACCAUACAAAGAAGAUUAGCAUGAGCAAGGAUGACACCCACAUUCAAAAAAGAAAAAGAACACAAAUUUGU
rnacentral:snRNA from 1 species